AGGCGGUUCUGUCGCGUCUGGUGUGAAAUCCCAUGGCUCAACUGUGGGCUUGCAUCGGGUACGGGCAGACUAGAGUGCUGUAGGGGAGACUGGAAUUCCUGGUGUAGCGGUGGAAUGCGCAGAUAUCAGGAGGAACACCGAUGGCGAAGGCAGGUCUCUGGGCAGUUACUGACGCUGAGGAGCGAAAGCAUGGGGAGCGAACAGGAUUAGAUACCCUGGUAGUCCAUGCCGUAAACGUUGGGCACUAGGUGUGGGGCCAGUUCCACUGGUUCUGUGCCGCAGCUAACGCAUUAAGUGCCCCGCCUGGGGAGUACGGCCGCAAGGCUAAAACUCAAAGGAAUUGACGGGGGCCCGCACAAGCGGCGGAGCAUGCGGAUUAAUUCGAUGCAACGCGAAGAACCUUACCAAGGCUUGACAUGUACGAGAAAGCCCCAGAGAUGGGGUUCUCUUUGGACACUCGUACACAGGUGGUGCAUGGUUGUCGUCAGCUCGUGUCGUGAGAUGUUGGGUUAAGUCCCGCAACGAGCGCAACCCUUAUCCUAUGUUGCCAGCGGGUCAUGCCGGGGACUCAUGGGAGACUGCCGGGGUCAACUCGGAGGAAGGUGGGGAUGACGUCAAAUCAUCAUGCCCCUUAUGUCUUGGGCUUCACGCAUGCUACAAUGGCCGGUACAGAGGGCUGCGAUACCGUGAGGUGGAGCGAAUCCCAAAAAGCCGGUCUCAGUUCGGAUCGGGGUCUGCAACUCGACCCCGUGAAGUCGGAGUCGCUAGUAAUCGCAGAUCAGCAACGCUGCGGUGAAUACGUUCCCGGGCCUUGUACACACCGCCCGUCAAGUCACGAAAGUUGGUAACACCCGAAGCUCACGGCCCAAC
rnacentral:rRNA from 1 species